UACGGAGGAUGCGAGCGUUAUCCGGAUUUAUUGGGUUUAAAGGGUGCGUAGGCGGCUUUUUAAGUCAGUGGUGAAAUCCUGCAGCUUAACUGCAGAACUGCCGUUGAUACUGAUAGUCUUGAGUUUGGUUAAGGUAGGCGGAAUGUGUAAUGUAGCGGUGAAAUGCUUAGAUAUUACACAGAACACCAAUUGCGUAGGCAGCUUACUAAACCAUAACUGACGCUCAGGCACGAAGGCGUGGGGAUCAAACAGGAUUAGAUACCCCU
rnacentral:rRNA from 1 species